rnacentral:rRNA from 1 species
CGGACGGGUGAGUAAUGUCUGGGAAACUGCCUGAUGGAGGGGAUAACUACUGGAAACGGUAGCUAAUACCGCAUAACGUCGCAAGACCAAAGAGGGGGACCUUCGGGCCUCUUGCCAUAGAUGUGCCCAGAUGGGAUUAGCUAGUAGGUGGGGUAACGGCUCACCUAGGCGACGAUCCCUAGCUGGUCUGAGAGGAUACCAGCCACACUGGAACUGAGACACGGUCCAGACUCCUACGGGAGGCAGCAGUGGGGAAUAUUGCACAAUGGGCGCAAGCUGAUGCAGCCAUGCCGCGUGUAUGAAGAAGGCCUUCGGGUUGUAAAGUACUUUCAGCGGGGAGGAAGGYGMURAGGUUAUAACCUYRKCRAUUGACGUUACCCGCAGAAGAAGCACCGGCUAACUCCGUGCCAGCAGCCGCGGUAAUACGGAGGGUGAAGCGUUAAUCGGAAUUACUGGGCGUAAAGCGCACGCAGGCGGUCUGUCAAGUCGGAUGUGAAAUCCCCGGGCUCAACCGGGAACUGCAUUCGAAACUGGCAGGCUAGAGUCUUGUAGAGGGGGGUAGAAUUCCAGGUGUAGCGGUGAAAUGCGUAGAAUCUGGAGGAAUACCGGUGGCGAAGGCGGCCCCCUGGACAAAGACUGACGCUCAGGUGCGAAAGCGUGGGGAGCAAACAGAUUAGAUACCCUGGUAGUCCACGCCGUAACGAUGUCGACUUGGAGGUUGUGCCCUUGAGGCGUGGCUUCCGGAGCUAAGCGUUAAGUCGACCGCCUGGGGAGUACGGCCGCAAGGUUAAAACUCAAAUGAAUUGACGGGGGCCCGCACAAGCGGUGGGCAUGUGGUUUAAUUCGAUGCAACGCGAAGAACCUUACCUACUCUUGACAUCCAGAGAACUUUCCAGAGA